rnacentral:rRNA from 1 species
UACGAAGGGUGCAAGCGUUAAUCGGAAUUACUGGGCGUAAAGGGUGCGUAGGCGGUUGUUUAAGUCUGUUGUGAAAUCCCCGGGCUCAACCUGGGAAUGGCAAUGGAUACUGGACAGCUAGAGUGUGUCAGAGGAUGGUGGAAUUUCCGGUGUAGCGGUGAAAUGCGUAGAGAUCGGAAGGAACAUCAGUGGCGAAGGCGGGCCAUCUGGGACAACACUGACGCUGAAGCACGAAAAGCGUGGGGAGCAAACA